AACGAACGCUGGCGGCAUGCCUAACACAUGCAAGUCGAACGAGACCUUCGGUUCUAGUGGCGCACGGGUGCGUAACGCGUGGGAACCUGCCCUUAGGUUCGGAAUAACUCCCCGAAAGGGGUGCUAAUACCGGAUAAUGUCUUCGGACCAAAGAUUUAUCGCCUUUGGAUGGGCCCGCGUUGGAUUAGCUAGUUGGUAGGGUAAAAGCCUACCACGGCGACGAUCAAUAGCUGGUCUGAGAGGAUGAUCAGCCACACUGGGAAUGAGACACGGCCCAGACUCCAGCGGGGGGAGGCAGGGGGAAAUAUUGAAAAAGGGGGAAAAGCGAAGGCCAGCAAUGCGGCGUAAGGGAUGAAGGGCUAAGGGUUGAAAAGCUUUUUACCCGGGAAUGAUAAAGAAGAUACGGGGAGAAAAACCCCGGGCAAACCCCG
rnacentral:rRNA from 1 species